UCACCUGUCAGCCGCCCGGGCUGCUACAGUCUCUUCUGGCCCUCGCAUCCCGGGCGAUCGCCUCUGUCGGGACCUGGGCGGCUGCGGCCACCAUGAUACAUUUCAUCUUGCUCUUCAGUCGACAAGGGAAGCUGCGGCUGCAGAAAUGGUAUACCACACUCCCUGACAAGGAGAGGAAGAAGAUCACGCGGGAGAUCAUCCAGACCGUCCUCUCUCGCGGGCACAGGACCAGUAGCUUCAUUGACUGGAAGGAGCUGAAACUUGUUUAUAAAAGGUAUGCUAGUUUAUAUUUUUGCUGUGCAAUAGAAAAUCAAGACAAUGAGCUCUUGACACUAGAGAUUGUUCAUCGUUAUGUGGAGUUGCUGGAUAAAUACUUUGGAAAUGUCUGUGAGCUGGAUAUUAUCUUUAAUUUUGAAAAGGCGUAUUUCAUCCUUGAUGAGUUUAUAAUAGGUGGAGAAAUACAGGAAACAUCCAAGAAAACGGCAGUCAAGGCUAUUGAAGACUCUGAUAUGUUACAGGAGGUCAAGAACCAAGAGGAUUUCAAGAAUUAUAAAGUACCUUUUUAAAAUUGGUGCUAAAGUCAUUCUUCCUGCUAUUUGGAAAUAAGAGACUGGUUAAGUUAAUAAGACAUUAGGCAUGAUUUCUCAGCAACUAUCUUGGCAGUACUGUGAGCUGAUUACUUACUUCUACCCAUGGAGGGACUCCAUCCUCAGACAAUGGAAGAAUACAUGAACAAGCCCACAUUUUAAGUGUACAGUCUACUUGAAGAUUUUGAGUGCUCCAUACUGUGACCCUGCAAACAAGCAACUUCUUGCAUCCAGUUUCCACACGGCCUCUGGCACCAUGCCAAAAAUGACUUAAAGGGAUUCUGUGUUAGCUAGCAAAAGUUAAAGUUGUUAGCAUGAUGUCCUUAUGUUUGCUACAUGUAUUAUACUAUGUAUCAAUACUCACUGUGGCUCUAGGUGUUUCAGAUAGUUGCUGCAGACUGAAUAGUUGCUUGCAGUGUUUUAAGUCCUUGUGGUAUUUUUAAAGUAAUCUCAAAUAUUGGUUGCAAUAUGAUAAUUUUUGUAGCCAUUUGUUCUUCUACUUGUAGACUGAUAACACACAAUUUUGAAUGUAAAGUAUAUUUUAUAUAGUGAAUGCCUGUCUUAAAUGUUUUAAAAUGUACAUAAAUUAAGUUUAUGUUAAUAGCUCAGAUUUCAUACAUGAUACUAGAUGUUUUUUAAUAUGUUCAAUGCUACUAUAAUUUCAAGUCAGAUACAAUGUAUUAUGACUUUAAUGUCUUGAAUUCAACUUUUUUUUUCUUUUUAGAAUUGGGAUAAAACUUUAUAAGAGAUUUUGAUGUCUUAGAAGGUGCUAGAUCAAGGUUUUUACUUUGCUUUCAAUUGAACAUUAAGGGACAUUUCAGUAAGGUUGUGGUUUCUACAAGCUAUAGAUUUAUUAAGGUUUCUAGAGAUCUGGGGAUGAAAUGUUACAGCAUCUCCUGUUAUUACCAUAAUACCAAGAGGAAGAGCUAUAGCAAUAUUUAUAUAGUAAUAAUUGUGAUCUCUACUACUAUUUUAUAUUUCAUGUUCCAAUUACUCCUUGUGAUUUUUUAAAGAUAUUUUAUUUUCAGAUAUUUCAUUCCUUGUGAGACUUUUAAAAAUAUUUUUAAUAUAAGGUGAAUGUUUAAGGUUUCCUUAGGUUGUGUGUAUUUUCAUUGUACCCUU